GGGCGGGUGGUCUAGUGGUAUGAUUUUCCCUUAGCAUGGGAGAGGUCCGGGGUAAUUUCCCCCCAAUCCA
rnacentral:tRNA from 1 species